rnacentral:rRNA from 1 species
AUUGAACGCUGGCGGCAGGCCUAACACAUGCAAGUCGAACGGUAACAGAAAGCAGCUUGCUGCUUUGCUGACGAGUGGCGGACGGGUGAGUAAUGUCUGGGAAACUGCCUGAUGGAGGGGGAUAACUACUGGAAACGGUAGCUAAUACCGCAUAACGUCGCAAGACCAAAGAGGGGGACCUUCGGGCCUCUUGCCAUCGGAUGUGCCCAGAUGGGAUUAGCUAGUAGGUGGGGUAACGGCUCACCUAGGCGACGAUCCCUAGCUGGUCUGAGAGGAUGACCAGCCACACUGGAACUGAGACACGGUCCAGACUCCUACGGGAGGCAGCAGUGGGGAAUAUUGCACAAUGGGCGCAAGCCUGAUGCAGCCAUGCCGCGUGUAUGAAGAAGGCCUUCGGGUUGUAAAGUACUUUCAGCGGGGAGGAAGGGAAUAAAGUUAAUACCUGUGCUCAUUGACGUUACCCGCAGAAGAAGCACCGGCUAACUCCGUG